rnacentral:tRNA from 1 species
GGGCUCUUAGCUCAGCUGGUUAGAGCACCUGACUCAUAAUCAGGGGGUCCACGGUUCGAGCCCGUGAGAGCCCACCA